CCUACGGGAGGCAGCAGUGAGGAAUAUUGGUCAAUGGACGAGAGUCUGAACCAGCCAAGUAGCGUGAAGGAUGACUGCCCUAUGGGUUGUAAACUUCUUUUAUAUGGGAAUAAAAUGUUCCACGUGUGGGAUUUUGUAUGUACCAUAUGAAUAAGGAUCGGCUAACUCCGUGCCAGCAGCCGCGGUAAUACGGAGGAUCCGAGCGUUAUCCGGAUUUAUUGGGUUUAAAGGGAGCGUAGGUGGAUUGUUAAGUGAGUUGUGAAAGUUUGCGGCUCAACCGUAAAAUUGCAGUUGAAACUGGCAGUCUUGAGGACAGUAGAGGUGGGCGGACUUCGUGGUGUAGCGGUGAAAUGCUUAGAUAUCACGAAGAACUCCGAUUGCGAAGGCAGCUCGCUGGACUGCAACUGACACUGAGGCUCGAAAGUGUGGGUAUCAAACAGGAUUAGAUACCCGAGUAGUC
rnacentral:rRNA from 1 species